rnacentral:lncRNA from 1 species
CAAUAAUCAGUUUAAUUCUUGCACGUUACAAACUAGAGAAAAUUCAGCAAGAAUGAUUUUCAAAGAGCACCAGAGUUGAAAAUCGCUGUAAUAUGAUAAUUCAACACUUCGAAAGUUUUCCAAGCGGUUCCCUCUAGCAGAGAAAUUUCUAUUUGGUGACUGGUGGCAAGUAUUAAAAGAAAGUUUGAGGAAUUAUGCAGAAAAUACAAGCAGAGAACGAGAACUGCAUGGUCUGCUUGUAAUUAUUUAGAAACAUAUUAGCCAAAAAUGCAUACCAAAUUCUCCAGCUAUCCCGAAACUUACAACUUAUAAGUUAUACCAUAUAGAAAGGACAUUGGAAAGGACCAUAUAGAAAGGAGAUUAGAAAUAUUAAAAUAUACAUUAAAAAAGAAUGAAGAGUCGAGAAAUCCGUAAAGCGUAACGACCGAAUACGAAAUGAAACAAAAAAGGACAAGCAAAAUCUACGUAAAUUAAAUGAAGUAAUUUCAUUGGAUUCGAAAUUCAAAAUACCAUCUGCAAUGUCAAAAUUUCGGAUUGACAGGUGGGAGGAGAAAUAGCGCUGAAUUCACUCAAUCCUACGCAAAAUUUUCCUAUAAAAAGGCAUGGAAGACUGCCAUUAAAGCAUAUUUCGGCGAUAAACAAACCGAAAGCAACAUGAAAACCAUCCUCUUUCUACUGGUUUUCGUUGGAAUUGCAAUCGUAGCAAACAGCGAAGCAUCUAAGAAAGAAGUAAAGAAAGAUGUUUCAUUUGAUAAAGGCAAGAAAGGGUCUGUCGACAAUGUGAGAGGUGAAAAAAAAUGUGAAGGACAAAUACAAUUUAAAAAAGGAUUCAAAUCGACUAAUUGGAAUACCUGUAAUGCCUCCAACUAACUCCAAUUUAGUCACACUUAUUGGGAUACUAAACAAUUUGAACUUGGACAUUUUUGGAUAUAUAAAUUGUACCUUCAACAAGCUUAUGAUAAAUUUGGACCAAUGCCAACUUGGUGACAUCGAUUUAAGAGGCGAUAUCCAAGACAGAUUUGGUCGCAAGGACAGAUGCGAUAAUUGUGGUACGGAUCCGAGUGACCCAUUGCAAUCGAUGAACGAGCUCUGUCCGGCACUUAAUAAUAUUACGAGUUACUUGGGUUGCAUCCUCGAACAGCUUCGUAACUUGGAUUGCUUGGAUUACAUUGACGGAUGUGUUAGGCAA